CACACGUGUUACAAUGGCAGGUACAGAGGGAUGCUACCGGGCGACCGGAUGCGGACCUCGAAAGCCUGUCCCAGUUCGGACUGGAGUCUGCAACCCGACUCCACGAAGUUGGAUUCGCUAGUAAUCGCGCAUCAGCCAUGGCGCGGUGAAUACGUUCCCGGGCCUUGUACACACCGCCCGUCAAGCCAUGGGAGCCGGGGGCGCCUGAAGUCCGGGACCGCGAGGACCGGCCUAGGGCGAAACUGGUAACUGGGGCUAAGUCGUAACAAGGUACC
rnacentral:rRNA from 1 species